rnacentral:rRNA from 1 species
GACGAACGCUGGCGGCGUGCUUAACACAUGCAAGUCGAGCGGUAAGGCCUUUUGGGGUACACGAGCGGCGAACGGGUGAGUAACACGUGGGUGACCUGCCCUCCACUUCGGGAUAAGCCUGGGAAACUGGGUCUAAUACCGGAUAGGACCAUUGGAUGCAUGUCUGGUGGUGGAAAGUUUUUUCGGUGGGGGAUGGGCCCGCGGUCUAUCAGCUUGUUGGUGGGGUGAUGGCCUACCAAGGCGACGACGGAUAGCCGGCCUGAGAGGGUGAUCGGCCACACUGGGACUGAGACACGGCCCAGACUCCUACGGGAGGCAGCAGUGGGGAAUCUUGCGCAAUGGGCGGAAGCCUGACGCAGCAACGCCGCGUGAGGGAUGACGGCCUUCGGGUUGUAAACCUCUUUCGCGAUCGACGAAGGUCCACUUUGGUGGUGGGCUGACGGUAGGUCGAGAAGAAGCACCGGCCAACUACGUGCCAGCCGCCGCAGUAAAAC